UUAACGACAACUCAUCCAAAUCAACGGUUGAAAUAACCAAUUUAAUACUUUCAAAUAUUGUUGAGGACUAUCUAAAUUUGAUUUCAUAAUUAAAAUAACACUAUCUACAUUACCAACUUUUUCUAAUUUCAAAGAAUUUUUUCAGAAUUUUCAGAAUUUUUUCGGAAUUUUGAGAACUUUUUCGGAAUUUUUC